rnacentral:lncRNA from 1 species
CUCCUCUUUAAAAUACUUUUUGUCUCCAGUACAUUUGAACGCUACUGAAUGUGUAACAUAUUUCUAGCAAAGAUGAGAUAAAAAAGAAGUAACUUAGAAAGGAGUCUAAAACAGUAACACGGCAACAACAACAACAACAACCCACCAGAGUAACACGGCAACAACACUUAUCUAAAAUGCUGGAUCUUUGCAUAGUUGAUUUUGGUUUUACUGUUUUAAUGCAUUCAGUUAACCUUAUCUUCAUAAUCGUGAUACUCAAUUGUGUCUAUCUAUAUUACGUGAUGCUGGUGUAUACGCCAUAGAGUCUCUUCUCUAUC